GUGGGAAAUCUGCCGAGUAGCGGGGGACAACGUUUGGAAACGAACGCUAAUACCGCAUAACAAUGAGAAUCGCAUGAUUCUGAUUUAAAAGAAGCAACUGCUUCACUACUUGAUGAUCCCGCGUUGUAUUAGCUAGUUGGUAGUGUAAAGGACUACCAAGGCGAUGAUACAUAGCCGGCCUGAGAGGGUGAACGGCCACACUGGGACUGAGACACGGCCCAGACUCCUACGGGAGGCAGCAGUAGGGAAUCUUCGGCAAUGGGGGCAACCCUGACCGAGCAACGCCGCGUGAGUGAAGAAGGUUUUCGGAUCGUAAAACUCUGUUGUUAGAGAAGAACGUUAAGUAGAGUGGAAAGUUACUUAAGUGACGGUAUCUAACCAGAAAGGGACGGCUAACUACGUGCCAGCAGCCGCGGUAAUACGUAGGUCCCGAGCGUUGUCCGGAUUUAUUGGGCGUAAAGCGAGCGCAGGUGGUUCCUUAAGUCUGAUGUAAAAGGCAGUGGCUCAACCAUUGUGUGCAUUGGAAACUGGGGAACUUGAGUGCAGGAGAGGGGAGUGGAAUUCCAUGUGUAGCGGUGAAAUGCGUAGAUAUAUGGAGGAACACCGGAGGCGAAAGCGGCUUUCUGGCCUGUAACUGACACUGAGGCUCGAAAGCGUGGGGAGCAAACAGGAUUAGAUACCCUG
rnacentral:rRNA from 1 species